rnacentral:rRNA from 1 species
UGCCGGAGCCAUAUCUCCUCGCGGUUCUUGUCUGGGUUCCCACUGACGCUAAGCAAGGUCGAGGCUGGUCGGUACCUGGAUGGAAGACCUCCUGGGGAAACUAAGGUCGCUGCUGGAA